CGCCAAGGGAGGAGCCGCCGCCGUAUUGCCUAGAGUAGGCGCCCUUCCUCCACUACCGUACUAGCCAGGGCCACUUCCUCCACUACGGUACUAGCAGGGUCUGCCCAGCGGCAGUGCGGCGCUGAGCAUCCACCGCCCCGCACACCGCAGGGGCUCCGCGUACCGCCGCGGUGCACCUCGAAGGGCUGGGGCGGCUUCCUCUGCCCUCCGCAAAGGCAGGACCGACGCGCGCGGCUCGGAGCCGCUGACUCCUGACUCAAGAGUUUUUCACCCUGGUUGGGGAGCUAGGAGGGUGAGACUGGGAGAAGGUUAGUCCAUUUCUGAUCCCACCUGUAUCCAGCCUCGGGGCUCUUGGCCCCAGAGGGAGGGUGAGUGUGUGAUGGCCUCGCUCGCGGAGGCCGCGUCGGACGCGUCGGACCUGUGCGGUAUCCGAAUUCACGCCUCAUCCAAACCUCCGCGAGCUCCUGGUGCUGGUGCGGGUGCCGGUGCUGGUGCAGAUGGUCACAGCGUCUCCUGGUCGGGGAACCCGACCUGCACGCUCUGGAGGCCUGGGCGAUCUUGGGCCAGGCCUUCAGCCCCUCUCGACUUCCGUUUCCCCAGUAGCUUUGCCCUCUGGGAGGCCAGAUAAAGUCCUGGACCCCAGCCCUGCCCCGCUGCCCCUCCUCUCCCUGCCCAGAACUCCGGAGCUGAGGCCCGCCCCCCCUUCCGGGGGAGGGGAGUAGGUUUGGAAGUCCAAGGGGCCCUUUCCAGCUUGAGGGAGUCCACACUUGCCCUCCGAGGGUGUGUCUGGGCCCAGUUUUCUUACUGGCACCAUGGAAAUAACCCAGCACUUUGGGUGCUAAGGUUUAAGGAGGUGCCAGGGAACUGGCCUUUCUCAGCCUGGGCGCAGGACACUAUUUGUCUUCUGCGAUCCAACGAGACCGUGGGAGCACUCCAGGUCUUCUGGCUAAGGACUCUGAGUACCCUAGCAUGCAAGAGCAAGGAAGUGGGGAAGAGACCCUGAAAAGCUGCACGAAGGAAUCCCCCCUCUACAGUUCCACAAGAUCCCCGCCUACUCACCUGCGCCCACGCCUGGCUGUACCACCCAGAACCAGCUGAUGCCUUUGCUGAUGCUGAGACAGACCAGGAGGUGAAGAAAGCUGAGUCGCAGGGACAGGCAUUCCGGCCGAGCCACGCCCCCCGUCCUGGGGUCCCCAGCUGCCUGGCUCCUGACACUGCUGCUUGAGGGCUCCCAGGCCAGAGGAUCUGCUGACACAACUGUCACAGCCCGUCAUCCACUCCUGGGGCCACACCUCGGCACAGACUCCAAGCCCCUGCAGCGGUGGUGAGCAGCCUUCCCCCGGCAGGGCUGGAGGGGAGUGAAGCUUGGCCGAGGCCAGUGGGGGCAGACCUGGGGCCCGCCGGCUUGGGUCCAGCCCCACCCCUCCUCCACACACCUUCUUCAAGGCCUUUUCCUCCCGCUUUUUCCAGACUCCCAGAAAAAUAAACAUCUACCCGGCAGCUGCCUGGCCCUCCUGAACUGCGCCCCAGGCAGUGGCCAGUGUCCAGGAAUUGGAGGCAGAGCAGGGCAGUUGGGGUCUCAGAAGCUGCAUCAUCCAGAGACCCUACUGGGCUGUAUGCCCUGCUUCCAGCGUGGCUGCUGCAGGAGGCCACCCUCACCAUGUGACCCCAACCCCACGUGGCUUCUGGCACCCUCAAAUGAACGCCCCGCCACCCGCCCACAAGUGUGCACCUCAGCUCUGCACCUUGGUGCCAGCCACCAAGUCCAGCCCACUCAGAAGGUGGCCAGGUGCAGUGGUGCCCAGCUGCAGUCCUAGCUGCUCCAGUGACUGAUGCAGGAAGGUCACUUGAACCCAGGAGUUUGAGGUCAGCCUGGGCAACACAGCGAGACCCCGUCUCAAAAUACGCAAACAAAACAAAUCAAAAGGAAAUCCACAAGACACGGGUUGAUCCCCAGCAGACAGCCUGCGACAUUCAGGGCACACAGCAUUGCACAACUGCCCUUUCGUUUCAAAACCUUCCCCUGAACCCAUGAAAACUCUGCACUCAUUACCUAAUUGCUGCAGGCCUGCCACCUGGUAAGCACUGCCGUGCAUUCUGUCCCUGGGGACUCCACAGUUCCUACACAGGCCUUUGUGCAGGUAGAAUCACAUACAUGGGCCUCCCUCCCUGAGAUAAUGCCCUUGCGGUUCACCUGCCUUGCAGGAUUUUCCAAUACUUCUCUCCUUUUUAUGGCAGAAUAACAUUCCAUUGUACAGAUACACUGUGUUUUGUUUAUUCAGUCACCUGCCAACGGACAGGGACUUGGGUCACUUUGAUCAUUUGCCUGUUGUGAACAAUGCUGUCGUGGACAUCCGUGUAUAUGUACUCGUGUGGACGUAUGGUUUUUCAUUUCUUUUCGGUAUGUACAGAGGAGUGGAAUUACUGGGGUGUGUGGUGAUUCCCUGUCUGACCUCUUGAGGAGCUAUCGAACCACGUCCACAGCAGCCCCACCAGCAAGAAGCCCAGAUUCUCCACGUCCUCGUCAACACUCUUACUCUCUGUGGGGUUUUGGUAUUUUUUUAUUAAAGCCAUUCUUGUGGGUGUGCGUGGCUCUGAUCUGCACUCUCUAGUAGCUAGUGAUGCUGAGCAGUUUUUCCUCACCUGUUGGCCAUUGGUAUGUCUUCUCUGGAGAAAUGUCUAUCCAAGUCCUUUUUCUUCCUUUUUUUAUUUUAUUUUUUCCAGUACUGGGGAUGGAACUCAGGUGCUGGGCAAGUGCUAUACCACUGAGCCACA